ensembl:snRNA U6 U6 spliceosomal RNA
GUGCUCACUUCAACAGCACAUAUACUAAAAUUGGAACUCUACAGAGAAGGUUAGAUGGCCCCUGGGCAAGGGAGACACACACAUUUGUAAAGCAUUCCAUAUAUUU